GGUCCCAUGGUCUAGUGGUUAGGACAUUGGACUUUGAAUCCAGUAACAUGGGUUCAAAUCUUGUUCGCACUU
rnacentral:tRNA from 1 species